rnacentral:rRNA from 1 species
CCUACGGGAGGCAGCAGUGGGGAAUCUUGCGCAAUGGGCGAAAGCCUGACGCAGCGACGCCGCGUGAGGGAAGAAGGCCUUCGGGUUGUAAACCUCUUUCAGGAGGGACGCGGUACCUCCAGAAGAAGCCCCGGCUAACUACGUGCCAGCAGCCGCGGUAAUACGUAGGGGGCAAGCGUUGUCCGGAUUCAUUGGGCGUAAAGAGCGUGUAGGCGGCCAGAUAGUCCGCUGUGAAAACUCGAGGCUCAACUUCGAGCUGUCGGUGGAAACUAUCUGGCUAGAGUCCGGAAGAGGAGAGUGGAAUUCCUGGUGUAGCGGUGAAAUGCGCAGAUAUCAGGAAGAACACCCGUGGCGAAGGCGGCUCUCUGGUACGGACUGACGCUGAGACGCGAAAGCGUGGGGAGCGAACAGGAUUAGAUACCCUUGUAGUC